ensembl:lncRNA MFF-DT MFF divergent transcript
UGGCUCCCUGCAACCUCCACCUCCCAGGUUCAAGCGAUUCUCCUGCCUCAGCCUCCCAAGUAGCUGCGAUUACAGGCACCCACCACCAUGAAGAAUGGCAUUUUUAAAAGAUGGCUUUCUUAAAAAAGGAUACUCAGUUGCUCUUCUACUCAUACCAAGAACAUUUCCGCUGGAUAUUUGGAUACUGAACAGGAGUAACAAGAGGAACAGCUCCUACCUCCCCCCUGCCCCUUCCCUCACAAGCCUGUGAGUCAGGGCAGGGGCAGCCACUGAAAGUAGCAGAGGCCUUCAUAAAGGAGAACACUUCUCCAUGUUGCCAUCAUGUGAAGAAGGACAUGUUUGCUUCUGCUUCUGCCACGAGUGUAAGUUUACUGAGGACUCCCCAGCCGUGCUGAACUGUUGAAGGCAAUGGUGAUGAAAGUAAAUAUUUAAAAACACUACCAUAGCUGUCCCAAAUUUCAGAAAAACAAGGUACCACUGGAACCAUUUAAUUUUGUUGGAACACAGAAUGACCAUCUUGUGAUCAGUUUUCUGCAUCUUUAAAAUACCUGGAAGGUCAUCUUUAAAUAGUACAAUCUGAUAAAAGUUUAAUACUUAGUGUAGACUUAUAUGAAUACUUCUACAUUCAUACAUUUUUGUAUACUUAUACAUUUUCAUACUCAAUUAAUGCUUAAUUCAAAAAAUAUCUGAGUACCUGCAGUGUUCCCCAUGCUACAUACUGGGCUUAAACAGCCAAAAAGACACAGUCUUUGACCUCAAAAUACUUUGAUUCUUGUAAGAAAAACUGACAAAGACAAAGAGAAGGCAAUGUGAAAACUUCUACAGUUGGGAUAACCUUGGAGGUUACAGGAUGUGGACUCACUGAAAGCUUUCUGCUGGACUUGAACUUGAAGCUGAAGUCUGAAGGACAGAUGGGUGUUGCUUAGCGAAGGGAAAGUAGGAAGCAAAGACCCCUGGACAGAGUGUAGCAGGCACAGAGGGAGCAUGACACCUUCGGGAGAGAGCCGCAAGCACCUGGGCCCAGAUCCCAGCUUUAGCUUCAUUAGCCCUGUGAACUCUGUAUGUCAGCCUUGACAUAGAAAAAAAGAGGAUACUAAACCUCCAUCUUAAAAGAGACUUGGAAGAAGCUGGGAUUAUAGGCACACCACCACACCUGGCCCCAGAAAAGGGAAUCCUUGACCUGCAAGAAUCGAGGAAUAUUGUUUCUGACAUGCUCAGUGGACCUACUGCUGGUGUUCUUAACCAUUUCCUUCCUAAGUGGAACUUCUUUUGAGGUUAGUAGAAGCUGCAAACAGAAUUAUAUGGAAUUGAAUAUAAGAAAAUAUACAGUGAAGAGUGCUAAGAAUUCCUCUGAAAUGUAAUGAAAAGGUAGAUUUCAUUUAGCAUUCAGUAUAUUUAUCUUGAAGGAAAAAAGGUGGAAAUAUCAAAGGUUUGAAAAAAAAAAAACCUCUUUGCUUUUUCAUAUGCUAGAUGGAUCAAUUACUUUGUUGACUUAUUUAACAAGAGUCUUGUGGUUAAGCAAUAUAUAUAAAAUCACAAAAGUAUUAUAUUAAUAAUAUAACAUAAUAAUGUCCACCAUGAAAUCUGUAAUGAUAUGCGUGCACCUACCAAGUGUUGGGCACAGUGCUAAGUGAUUUCACAAAAUACUUAUUUAAUCUUCCUGGCAACUCCACUAAAGUAUUUAGGAACUGCUAUAGUUUGAAUGUGCUCCCUCCAAAAUUCAGGUGUUAUCAAUGUGAUAGAAGUAAGAGGUAGGGUCUGUAGGAGGUGAUUAGGCCAUGAGUGUUUCUCUCUCAUUAAUGGGAUUAAGGCCCUAUUAAAAGAGGCUUUGAGCAGCCUCAGGUCAGCUUGCCCUUCUGCUUUCUGCCAUGUGAGGAUGCAGCCAAAAAAGCCCUCACCAGACCAAGGGUCAGCAUCUUGAUUUUGGACUUCCCAG